rnacentral:tRNA from 1 species
AAGAGAAUAGUUAAUUAUAACAUUGUUAUGUCAAAACAAAAUUACUAUUUAGUUUCUUUUA